UGCUUGGGUAGCUCAGAUGGUAAAGCACUUGCCUCCGAAGAGCAAGGGUCCCGAGUUCGAGUCUCGGUCCGGCAA